rnacentral:misc_RNA from 1 species
CGUUGUGGCUCUUGAAAUUGUUAGUGGAAGGCCAAAUUCAGACCCAAGCUUAGAGCAAGACAAAGUAUAUCUUCUCGAAUGGGCAUGGUACCUCCACGAAAACAACUGUGAACUUGAGAUGGUGGAUUCUGAAUUAUCAGAGUUCAGUAAGGAGGAAGUAAAAAGGGUGAUCGGUGUAGCUCUUCUGUGUACUCAAACAUCUCCAGCUCUUCGGCCAUCGAUG